rnacentral:rRNA from 1 species
AACGAACGCUGGCGGCAUGCCUAACACAUGCAAGUCGAACGAGACCUUCGGGUCUAGUGGCGCACGGGUGCGUAACGCGUGGGAACCUGCCUUUAGGUUCGGAAUAACUCAGAGAAAUUUGAGCUAAUACCGGAUAAUGUCUUCGGACCAAAAGAUUUAUCGCCUUUAGAUGGGCCCGCGUUGGAUUAGCUAGUUGUGGGGUAAAGGCCUACCAAGGCGACGAUCCAUAGCUGGUCUGAGAGGAUGAUCAGCCACACUGGGACUGAGACACGGCCCAGACUCCUACGGGAGGCAGCAGUGGGGAAUAUUGGACAAUGGGCGAAAGCCUGAUCCAGCAAUGCCGCGUGAGUGAUGUAGGCCUUAGGGUUGUAAAGGCUCUUUACCCGUAGAUGAUAAUGACAGUAUCGGGAGAAUAAGCUCGGCUAACUCCGUAGCCAGCAGCCGCGGUAAU